AUUGAACGCUGGCGGCAGGCCUAACACAUGCAAGUCGAACGGUAACAGGAAGCAGCUUGCUGCUUUGCUGACGAGUGGCGGACGGGUGAGUAAUGUCUGGGAAACUGCCUGAUGGAGGGGGAUAACUACUGGAAACGGUAGCUAAUACCGCAUAACGUCGCAAGACCAAAGAGGGGGACCUUAGGGCCUCUUGCCAUCGGAUGUGCCCAGAUGGGGUUAGCUAGUAGGUGGGGUAACGGCUCACCUAGGCGACGAUCCCUAGCUGGUCUGAGAGGAUGACCAGCCACACUGGAACUGAGACACGGUCCAGACUCCUACGGGAGGCAGCAGUGGGGAAUAUUGCACAAUGGGCGCAAGCCUGAUGCAGCCAUGCCGCGUGUAUGAAGAAGGCCUUCGGGUUGUAAAGUACUUUCAGCGGGGAGGAAGGGAGUAAAGUUAAUACCUUUGCUCAUUGACGUUACCCGCAGAAGAAGCACCGGCUAACUCCGUG
rnacentral:rRNA from 1 species